rnacentral:rRNA from 1 species
UACGGGGGGGGCAAGCGUUGUUCGGAAUUACUGGGCGUAAAGGGCUCGUAGGCGGCCAACUAAGUCAGACGUGAAAUCCCUCGGCUUAACCGGGGAACUGCGUCUGAUACUGGAUGGCUUGAGGUUGGGAGAGGGAUGCGGAAUUCCAGGUGUAGCGGUGAAAUGCGUAGAUAUCUGGAGGAACACCGGUGGCGAAGGCGGCGAUCCUGGACCAAUUCUGACGCUGAGGAGCGAAAGCCAGGGGAGCAAACAGGG